CUCUUCUCUGUUCCCGUCACCGCCAAACCAAUUGUUUCUUUGGACCAAAACAAUAUGUAGAUGACAUUGAGUUUGCCCUUUUCUUCAAUUGCAGCCUGAGCGUCGUAGAGACCAAAUGAGUUAUGAGCCAGAGACCAACGCUCCCUCGAGCCCCUUUCAUCCAUCUGGAAACCGCACGGUAAGUUUGACUGGUCUCAACUCUGAGUUGGAGUUUAACACAAAGCAAAGUUACAGUCUUUGAUGGUCUUUUUAUUACUAUUAGUUACCCGAUACUGAUAUUGGCUUUGGCUUUGUAUUUUGAAUGGCAGCCAGAACGGCGUCGAAAGCCAAGCGAGUACAGUCGAGAACACCACGAUCGAAUGUAUGAGGCAGAUACCCGAAGCAAUGCCAGCCCAUUUCACCCAUUCAAAAGCCCUUCUCCAUCUCCAUACCACACGGUACUCUCUCCACACAAAAAAAAAAAAAAAAAAGCUCUGAUGAUUUGUUCUGAUUCAUGUUCAAUCACUAAACGCUUCUAAUUUUUAAUUGAAUUCAGCCUGAUCGCCGCAGAGACCAUGAUACAGACGACUACGAGUACGAGGCAAUGUAUGAGCCAGAGGCCAACACCAUAUUUGAGAAGAGGAGCCCAUUUCAUCCAGCCAGAAGCCGCUCUCCAUCACCAUACACAACUGUAAGUCUUGUGAGUAGACAAU
rnacentral:lncRNA from 1 species